GGAAAGGUUACUGAAUGACUCAUGGCUAUGUAAUGUAAGACUGUGUGAUACGGCCUCCCGAGUGGUGAGGUGGUCUACUGCAUCGCUGUGCCACUAGAGAUCCUGGUUAGAGUCCAGGCUCUGGCGCAGCCGGCCGCGACCGGGAGACCCAUGGGACGGGGCACAAUUGGCCCAGCGUCGUCCGGGUUAGGGAGGGUUUGGUUGGAAGGGAUGUCCUUGUCCCAUCGCGCUCUAGCGACUCCUGUGGCGGGCUGGGGGCAGUGCACGCUGACCAGAUCGCCAGGUGUAUGGUGUGUUUCCUCCGACACAUUGGUGUGACUGGCUUCCGGGUUAAGCGGGCAUUGUGUCAAGAAGCAGUGCGGCUUGGUUGGGUCCUGUUUUGGAGGACGCAUGGCUCUCGACCUUCGCCUCUUCCGAGUCCGUACUGGAGUUGCAGCGACGAGACAAGACUGUAACUACCAAUUAGGAUACAAUGAAAUUGGGGAGGGAAAAGGGGUCAAAUGAAAAAAGACAGUGUGAUACAAUGGAUCAGUUUUCCAUAUGGGAAGCAGAAGGUCAUGGACAUUGUUGUCACCUCUUAGCUGGUACCACUGAUCCUGGUGGGGAAUAAGUCAGACCUGGUAGAACACAGCAGUAUGGAGACCAUCCUGCCCAUCAUGAACCAGUACUCUGACAUUGAGACCUGCGUGGAGGUAAGAGAACACUGACUGGUGACUCUGUUUACCGCCUCCAUUUUGAGUGCCUAGCAAGAGUACAUUGAGAAUGACCAUAUAGCUAGGCUAAUGAGAGUUGUUGUGUUACACUUGAGUUGAGGCUCAAUCAAAAUGGUAUUGAACUACUAGAAAUGUAUUUUAAGGGUCUCUGAUUAUCUGAUUAAUUGAAUUCAGGCCUGCAAAACUUUGAUCAACAAUGGUUUCAUAUUCGAAUACGGUUCUGAAAUCCAAACAGCUGAAAACGGCAUUAGAAAAUCUAAUUGAUGCAUUGACCUUGUGAUGUAGGUUGUCUGCUGGCCCUGGGCUGGGAGACUCCUAAUGUUUCAGCUAACUCC
ensembl:lncRNA